rnacentral:rRNA from 1 species
UAAGGAAUAUUGGUCAAUGGACGCAAGUCUGAACCAGCCAUGCCGCGUGAAGGAUGAAGGUCCUCUGGAUUGUAAACUUCUUUUAUCUGGGACGAAAACGGGAUUUUUAUCUCAAUUGACGGUACCAGAGGAAUAAGCACCGGCUAACUCCGUGCCAGCAGCCGCGGUAAUACGGAGGGUGCAAGCGUUAUCCGGAUUCACUGGGUUUAAAGGGUGCGUAGGUGGGCUUAUAAGUCAGUGGUGAAAUCUCCGAGCUUAACUUGGAAACUGCCGGUGAUACUAUAGGUCUUGAAUUAUCUGGAGGUAAGCGGAAUAUGUCAUGUAGCGGUGAAAUGCUUAGAUAUGACAUAGAACACCAAUUGCGAAGGCAGCUUACUACAUAUAAAUUUACGCUGAGGCACGAAAGCGUGGGG